rnacentral:rRNA from 1 species
GACGAACGCUGGCGGCGUGCUUAACACAUGCGAGUCGAACAGAAAGGCCUCUUUCGGGGGGUACUCGAGUGGCGAACGGGUGAGUAACACGUGAGUAACCUGCCCUUGACUUUGGGAUAACUUCAGGAAACUGGGGCUAAUACCGGAUAGGAGCUCCUGCUGCAUGGUGGGGGUUGGAAAGUUUCGGCGGUUGGGGAUGGACUCGCGGCUUAUCAGCUUGUUGGUGGGGUAGUGGCUUACCAAGGCUUUGACGGGUAGCCGGCCUGAGAGGGUGACCGGCCACAUUGGGACUGAGAUACGGCCCAGACUCCUACGGGAGGCAGCAGUGGGGAAUAUUGCACAAUGGGUGGAAGCCUGAUGCAGCAACGCCGUGUGCGGGAUGACGGCCUUCGGGUUGUAAACCGCUUUCGCUCAUGACGAAGCUUUGUGUGACGGUAGUGGGUAAAGAAGCACCGGCUAACUACGUG